rnacentral:rRNA from 1 species
AUCGAACGCUGGCGGCAUGCCUAACACAUGCAAGUCGAACGAGUGGCGGACGGGCGAGCAAUGUCUGGGAAACUGCCCGACGGAGGGGGAUAACUACUGGAAACGGUAGCUAACACCGCACACCAUCGUAUGUGCCCAGAUGGGAUUAGCUAGUAGGUGGGGUAACGGCGCACCUAGGCGACGCUCCCCAGCUGGUCCGAGAGGAUGACCGGCCACACGGGAACUGAGACACGGUCCAGACUCCUACGGGAGGCAGCAGUAGGGAAUAUUGCGCAAUGGGCGAAAGCCUGAUGCAGCCAUGCCGCGUGUGUGAAGAAGGCCUUCGGAUUGUAAAGUACUUUCAGCGGGGAGGCGUUACUCACAGAGGAAGCACCGGCUAACUCCGUGCCAGCAGCCGCGGUAAUAC